GCCAUAUCACAGCAUGGUGUGAGGGAGCAGAGCAGGAAGAUCACCGCUUCCUUGUAGCUGCCUUUUCCAUUCUUUGUAGUCACCUUGGGUGGCCCACUGGUCAAUUCUUGAGUCCAAGCAGAACAGAGCAGGCCCAGUCGCACUUGUAGUCUCUGUAGUUUGUGACUGCAUAGGCUGGCAUCGGUGCAAAGUUGAACUUGCUGACACCAACCACCAGCACAAAACUCCUAGUCACUAUAGAGAGAUGACAACGUGUUAUUGAGAUUUGUUGAGCCCUGCUGUACAC